rnacentral:lncRNA from 1 species
CUCAGAUUAUAAUAAAUAACGUUUAUUGUGCUAUACUGUGUGGUAGGUAUGAGGUUAAGUAUUUUUACCUAUAUUAUAUCACUUAUUUCUUACAAAUGGAGCAAGGGAGCAAGCAAGCAAGGGAGGUAUUAUUAUCCCUAUUUUAUGUAUUUAUGUAUUUAUUUUUGAUUUCUAUUCUUUUGGUUUUUUUGUUGUUUUUUAUUGAUGUAUCAUAGUUGUACAUGUUUUGGGGUACAUGUGAUAUUUUUGAUACAUGUAUACAAUGUGUAAUGAUCAAAUCAGAGUAAUUUGGAUAUUCAUCACCUCGAAUAUUUAUCUUUUCUUUGUGUUGGGAACAUUAUAAUUUUUCUCUGCUAGCUAUUUUAGAAUAUAUAAUAAAUUAUUGUUCCCUAUGAUUUCUCCAUUGUAUAAUUGAAUACUAAAAUUUAUUAUGUCUAUCUACAUAUCCCCAGUUCAAUAACUAUAAUUUCUCUGCUGUGCAAUCAAAUACUAGAACUUCUUCCUUUGAACGCUAUAUCCCUAAUUCAAUAACAAGUAAACUGAAGCUCAGCAUGGUCUAGGAACUUUGUUACGUUAACACAGCAAGUGAGUGUUGCAGCCUGGAUCCAAAAAUCAGGCCUGGUCGACCUCAAAGUCCAGAUUAUUGACCUUUCUACCAUAAUGUAUGGAGUUUUAGGAUUUGAAGAUAAAAGAGGUGAAAAUUUGGAAACGGUUUCUGGACUUUUGAAUUUUGGCAAACAGCUAUGUGAUAAGUCCACCCUGCAGACCCACAACUUUUGGAAAUAACUCUACUGUGAUCUUCAGUAGCAGAAGCUGCUCCUGGGGUGGUAGAACACAAGGAAAACACACACUAGUAAAAAUUUCAUGUGGCUUCUUUGUUCUGUACAUGUGUUUCUCUUGAUUAGUAUAUGGUAGUAUCCUCAAAUCAUAGUAACAAGUAUACUUUUUCCAGUGAAUUGCAUGUGUAUAUUAUUGUAUAGUAUAAAAGGCAAUAUUUCCAUUUAUUAUCAUCUGUGCUUUUCAAAGAAACUCUGUGAGUCCAACAGGGCGAUAAUAGAAGCAACUGCCCUUUCUCUCCCCCUUUAAAUGCAACCCAAUGUCAAAGUCCGUAGCAUCCCCAAAUGAGUGUAUUAAAGGUGAGAAAUUCCCAAAGUCAAACUCAGUAGCAUCCUUGAAUGAGUGUAUUAAAGGUGAUAAAUUUAUUUUAUUUAUGUUCUUUUUAACCUGUGUUCUCAGAAACAGAGACUACUGUAUUUCAUCCUACCUUAGUCUUGCUUAGCAGUUUCUCUUCUCCUUUGAGGCUCUUUUAUUUUUAAAUCAUUGUUCAUAUCUUCUAAUCUCCCCUUUCUCCCAUUCUUCCCAUAUUUUUAAUCUUUUUUUAACUUUAUCUCUGUUCUACUUUUUCUGUAUUUCAAAUUGAUCCAUAGACUUUAGAAAAAUGAGUUGAAUGCUGGCUGUAGGCUGUCUUAUCCCCAGCAAGAAACAUGUUGUAAAGUCUUAGUACCUUCCCACUGGAAGAUCAUUAGUCAUGGCUACUAUGUUUUUAAAUGAGAAUUGUUUUAAUUAUGCAUUUUAAAAUUAUUGGAAAACAUGAGGGAGAGGAAUGAACCAUAAGUAAUAAAGAUUAUUGACUUGAAGUUAAGACCUUACUAUGAUCUGGGAUUAUUAGUCUUACUUGUCAAUCAAGAACUAUCCACUUUCUAUUCGUUUGUGGGUAUCUAAUAUGGUUAUAUACACAGAAGUAAUGAUAAUUGAUAUGAAAAGGUCUCCUCCUGUUAUAUCAAUUUAGGUAUUUUUCACACAUUGUAUACCUCAUUCUUCUCCUAUUCAAUUUUCACUAAUUCCUAAAGGGUCAGGUCAAUGUCCUUGGCAUAACCUCCUCCACCUGUUCUUAAUGGCAAUCGUCUCUUCUGCCCUCCAAUAUCUAUAACACUUUUUUCUUUAAAACUCUUUGAAUGUUUAUCUUAAUACUCAUUUGAUAUAUAUUGUAUACCACAUAUGAUUGUUUGUUAUAUGUACAAUACAUGUUUUUUCAACUUUUUUUGGUUCUUUCUAUUUACAGGAAUUAGAGAAAGAACAAAUCAGUGUGAAGGAGAAUUGUCAGUAAAAUUACAAGAAAAGAUUGAGAUCAUAAUUGACCUUUGAGGAUAAUAAAAUUUAAAGACCAAAAGGAUGGACUUCACAGAAACAUGACCUUAGGUUGUUUUUGCAGUUGUAGUAACUGGUUAUAUGACCAACAAAAUAUGAAGAAUGGGUACAAAUUCUGAUAGUAAUGAUCAGUCACUUUGCAAAUAUAAAGUUACUAUUUACUACUGUAUUGUACAGGUUCAAUAAUCUUUGUGUACACAUUUUAUGUAUUUAUUGUCAGGCUGCUAUAUAAUUCAGUAUUUAUAAUAGAUACUAUGUAUAGCAAUCUAUGGUUAGUUUUGGUCUUAACCAGGAAAAAUCACUCUUUUGAGUUUUGCUGUUUUUACUAGAUUAUUUUUACUGGAUGAUUGCUCAUAUUAUUUGAUUAUUAUUGCAAUUUGUCUUUCUGGAAUAGGAAGCAAGAGGCCUGAAUUCUGGUUCCUAUUCUAUCAAUUGUGUGAAUUCUGGAAACUCAGUUUACUUUUCUGGGCCUCAUGGUUUUCAUCUGAAUGAUGACCAACUUGGAUAAAAUGGUCUUUAUAUAAUUUCGUAGGCAUUUCCCUUCCCAAGGGCUUGAGUCUUUUUCAACAAUUAUAGAGUUUUCCGGUCCCUCUUCCCAGUGCCUCAGCACCUUGCUAUUCAUGUUCAUCUGAUCAGUUGUUUGCAUGCUGACUUACAUUACCCUGAUGGGCAGUACCUGUGGCUGUUUCUGCUCCCUCACCCAGUCCAUAGGCUUCUGGUUGUAAAAAGUGUGCAUCUUGAGACUGUGGACAGUUAGCUCCAGAGGUGACAGUAUAAUCACUUCACGUAGAAGAGGAUAGAGAGAGACUCAUGCCAGUGGUGGUGAGCAAGUAUUAGAGAUAUGAUGUGUGCCUCUGUGAGUUUUGGGGUCUAAGAUAAAUUAUGGCACUAGGAAGAUGGUCCUUUGUGUCAGAAGAACUGGAGUUGUUGGUGCAAAAAAGUAUGAUGUCAGCAUAGCAGUUUUAUUUGUACCUCAGCAACUUCUAAAAUAAUCUCU